rnacentral:tRNA from 1 species
GGGCUCGUGGUGUAGUGGUAUCGCGUCUGCUUUGCAUGCAGAAGGCCUCGGGUUCAAACCCCGACAAGUCCA